UUAUUUUCCAAUUGAGUAUUUAGCGCGAAAAAAGAACCUAUUUAUAUCACCCAGUGAAGCCUCAAGUCAAGGAAUUGCCGGAGAUAACUCAGAAUUAGGAAUCUCCAACUCAAACACAACACUUCUCUCUAUCACUCCACUCCUUCUUGCGAUCGGUAAUCACACUUCCUCUACUGCUUUGCACACUUUGAUUUCGAUAUGGCUGGACAAAGUCGACGGAAUCCUCGAAGCCGAAUUAAAUCAGCUUCCGCCGUCGACGACGAUGACGACAGCGCCGUCCGUCAAGCUUCUGAUAAUUAUAGACGCCUCCGUGAUAGGAAUAAAUCGAGUUCUUCGAUUCGCAUCUUCAAUGUUAAUCUCAAGGUCAUGGUAGGUAUUUGCUUCGUCGCAUUCUUCGUCAUCUUGUAUCUGAUCAGUAGCCUGAUCGUAACCGGAGAUCAUCAGACUCCUAGGGUUAUUACGCCAUUUCCUGCUCCAAAAGUUACCGACCUUCCUCAGUUUCAAGGUGAACAUAAAGAGAGCUUGUAUUGGGGAACUUAUCGACCUCAUGUCUAUCUUGGAAUACGAGCUAGGACUCCACGUUCAUUGCUUGCUGGCUUGAUGUGGAUAGGUGUUCAGAAUGGAAGAUAUGUCAUGAGGCAUGUGUGCCAAAGUUCCGAUGAACUAAGCACAUAUGGUUGGACUCGUCACAAUGCACGUGAUUUUGGACAUCAAGUUCUUGUUGACCAGGAUAUGACUCUGGGAACAAGCUUUCUGAAAUCGAAGGAGAGUGGUAGUGGCUAUGGUGGAGAUUGGGCUGUUCGCAUUCAAGUUAAUAGCAAGAAAUCUGAGGAGACUGAGGAAUUGUUGAAAACUGGGCAUCUUUUUUUCUACUUGGCAGAUGAAGAUGGAAAUGCUUUAAGUUUAAGUAGAGAUGCCAUGAACAUUCAUGAGACUUCACUCCUAGCAUCAGGUUCACGAAGUGAUGUAGGAAAUUGGCAGUUACAUUUAGAAUCUAAGGAUGAUCUCGAAGUCCAUUUUAGUGGGUUUAAGACGGAGCAUUAUCACAAUUUAUCUGAACUUGUUCAGGAAAAUAUUGGUGGACAAGCAAGAAAAUUUGGUCGAUUGCAGCUCUCUGACACAUCUGAUGACUCCUCAAAUAUUUUAGUUUUCCAGAUCUCUGGCAGAAUUCCAUUUAGAACAGAUUUGGCUUUCAUUUCUGGCUCUGGUUUACCAAGUUCUAGAGAAGAGGAACGUGUCAACAACCUCACAGGUUCAUCAUUAACUGAUCGAUUAAAGGAGAAAGAAUUAGAAUUUGAUACCAGAUUUGAGGAGUGCUUUGGUUUGGCAAACAAGUUUGAUUUAGAAUCCACAACUGUUGGUAAGGCUGCUGUUUCAAACUUAUUAGGUGGCAUUGGUUAUUUCUAUGGCCAGUCAAAAAUUGCACUCCCAGGUGCCUCCCAUCUCGGAAGUCAUAAUGGUUUCCUUUUUUACUGGCCUGCUGAGCUUUACACUGCUGUUCCAUGCCGUCCUGUCUUCCCUAGGGGAUUCUUGUGGGAUGAAGGCUUUCAUCAGCUGCUUAUCUGGCGAUGGGAUAUUCACAUCAGCUUAGAUAUUCUUGGUCACUGGUUGGAUUUAAUGAACAUCGAUGGAUGGAUUCCACGUGAACAAAUAUUAGGGGCUGAAGCUCUCAGCAAGGUCCCAGAAGAAUUUAUUCCUCAGUAUCCAAGCAAUGCUAACCCGCCAGCAUUCUUUCUAGUCUUGCGAGAAUUGAUUCAUGGCCUAAAGAAAAAUGCAUUUACCGAGACAGAAAGCUCAGAGAUAUCUUCAUUCUUCGAACGGUCUUUUGUCCGCUUGGAAGCAUGGUUCCAGUGGUUUAAUACUACACAGCCAGGGAAGGAGGCAAGCAGCUAUUACUGGCAUGGAAGAGACAGCUCUACAAUUCGUGAACUAAACCCUAAGACACUAAUGUCUGGAUUGGAUGAUUAUCCACGUGCUUCACACCCCACUGAAGAUGAGCGUCAUGUGGACCUCCGAUGCUGGAUGCUUCUCGCUGCAGAUUGCAUGCAUUCUAUUUCAGAGCUAACCGCAAAGGAAAAGGGACUUGAAACGGUUUAUAGUUCAGCAACAAAAAUUCUCUCUGAAUUUGAGCUUCUGAAUCAGAUGCACUUUGAUGAUGCCCAUGGAACUUACUUAGAUUUUGGAAAUCACACUGAAAAGGUACGUUUAAUUUGGAAAGAGGUGAUGGGAGAGCAAGGAUUUACAACUCGUCAACUUAUCCGGGAAGUGUCGGAAACGCCAAGGCUAAGAAUGGUUCCUCAUAUCGGUUAUGUCAGUCUUUUUCCACUCAUGGGGAGAAUCAUUCCACCUGAAUCUUGGAUUCUUGAAAAACAGCUUGAUCUUAUUUCAAAUCGAAGCAUAUUCUGGACAGAUUAUGGGCUCCGCUCCCUAUCUAAAACAAGCUCAUUAUACAUGAAGCACAACACAGAGCAUGAUGCACCUUAUUGGAGAGGUACAAUUUGGAUGAACAUGAAUUACUUGAUUCUUUCAGCACUCAAUCACUACGCCACAGAGCAUGGACCGUAUAGAGAAAAAGCUAAAGAUAUUCGUGAUGAGUUGAGAAGCAAUAUAAUUAGAAAUGUGGUUAGAAAUUAUCAGAAGACAGGAUACAUUUGGGAGCAGUAUAAUCAAAAGACGGGUAAAGGGAAAGGCGCUCACCCAUUUACCGGUUGGACAUCUCUACUACUCUUAAUCAUGGCUGAAGCUUAUACAGAAAGUUAGCAGAAGCUUCUUUGGAAACAUUUUUUAUGACUGUGGAACUACAGGAGAGAGUGCCUGCAAGGAAAGAGUGGACUUUAUCUCGCAAAACUAGAAGUGAUAAAGCAGGCUCCAAGCAAAAAUAUGUUCGCACCUCCUGCAUAUCGGCAAGACUCUGCUCGUGUAUUUUUGCAGAUCCUUGAAAAUAGAUGGAAUUACCAGGACCGGAGCCGUUUGCUUGCCCACGAGUAACUGUCAGCAAAUUUUGUACCCUCCUUGAAAGUUCUGCCCCAGAGCCUUUCAACUGAAAAGUGUCUUGAGAAUAUCAUUAUGAUGCAACUUUUGGAGACAAGUAACAUAUUUCUCCCUAGUUAUAAGUUAUAGUUUAUGAUUUCCUAUGGAUCAUUAAAAGAAAACUAAGGAUAAUAACAAUCAAGCGAUGUGCUUGGAAAAGAAAAAUAAGCCUUCAUUAGUCAUUACUAUCACUUAAGUUUCUCUUCUUCCUAUCAUUCAAAUUUUUGAAUCAAGUUACUUAUAUUUUGAAAUGGUGUAUAUGUUCAACAGUUGGGAUAAAGUGAAAUUUAGUUGAACUAAAUGAAAAAGACCUAGGAAUUCCCUCUA